UAAAAUAAUUAAGGGCACACAAAGGAUGCCUAGGUAGUAAGAGCCGAUGAAGGACGUGGUAAGCUGCGAUAAGCCUAGAUAAGUUGCAAUCGAACGUAAGAGUCUAGGAUUUCCGAAUGGAGCAAUCUAUUAAGAUGGAGUCUUAAUACGAAAGAGGGAACCGCGUGAACUGAAACAUCUAAGUAACGCGAGGAAAAGAAAGUAAAAACGAUACCCAAAGUAGCGGCGAGCGAAAUGGGUCAAGCCUAAACCUUAAAUAUGUCAAGGAUACAGCCGUUGUAUUUAGGGGGUUGAGGGACAGAGUAGUGAAGAACUGUAAGAUAUUCAAUAUAGUGUAUUGAUGAAUUGGAAUUGUCUGGAAAGGCGAACCGUAGAAGGUGAAAGUCCUGUACAAGUAAAUCCUUACACAUAUAACUCUGCUCCCAAGUAACAUGGAACACGAGGAAUUCUGUGUGAAUCUGUGAGGACCAUAUCUCAUAAGGCUAAAUACUCUUACUAACCGAUAGCGCAUAGUACCGUGAGGGAAAGGUGAAAAGAACCCCUGGAGGGGAGUGAAAUAGAACCUGAAAUUGUGUGCUUACAAGCGGUCAGAGCCAGUGAUGGUGAUGGCGUGCCUUUUGGAGAAUGAUCCUGCGAGUUACGUUAAACGGCGAGGUUAAGUAUAACGGAGCCGAAGGGAAACCAAGUCUUAAUAGGGCGAUUUAGUCGUUUGGCGUAGACGCGAAACCUGGUGAUCUAAACCUGUCCAGGAUGAAGCUGUGGUAAGACACAGUGGAGGUCCUAACCCACCGCCGUUGAAAAGUUGGGGGAUGAGGUAGGUUUAGGGGUGAAAAGCCAAUCGAACCAGGAGAUAGCUCGUUCUCUCCGAAAUGCAUCUAGGUGCAGCCUUGAGUGUUCAAUUAUGGGGGUAGAGCACUGAAUGAUCUAGGGGGCGUAUUGCUUACUGAAAUCAAUCAAACUCCGAAUACCAUAAUUUAGAGCUCAGGAGUGAGACUAUGGGAGUUAACUUCCAUUGUCGAAAGGGAAACAACCCAGACCACCAGCUAAGGUCCCUAAUUAUAACUAAGUGGGAAAGGAGGUGGAGAUUCACAAACAACUAGGAGGUUGGCUUAGAAGCAGCCAUACCUUUAAAGAGUGCGUAAUAGCUCACUAGUCGAGAGUCUCUGCGCCGACAAUGUAACGGGGCUAAGUUAUAAACCGAAGCUGUGGAAUCCGUAAGGAUUGGUAGGAGAGCGUUCUGUAGGCCGUUGAAGGAGAAGGGUAACCGACUCUGGAGGUAUCAGAAGUGAGAAUGCAGGAAUAAGUAGCGAGAAAGGGGGCGAGAAUCCCCCUCGCCGGAAGACCAAGGUUUUCAGGGUAAAGCUUGUCUUCCCUGAGUAAGCCGGGACCUAAGCCCAGGCUAUAAUGCGUAGGCGAAUGGAAAACAGAUUAAUAUUUCUGUGCCAGUCAUAUAUUGUGAUGGAGGGACGCAGAAGGGUAUGCGCGCGGACGAACGGAAGUGUCCGUAGAAGUAUGUAGGAUGACUUGAUAGGAAAAUCCAUUGAGUUAUAUCUGAGGUAUGAUAUACAGUCGUAAGAUGAAUGCGCAAAUCCCACGCUGCCAAGAAAAGCUUCUAACGUUAAUAUUUGACUGCCCGUACUGCAAACCGACACAGGUGGUCAGGAUGAGAAAUCUAAGGCGGACAGGCUAACUCUCGUUAAGGAACUCUGCAAAAUAACCUCGUAACUUCGGGAGAAGAGGAGCCCUUGAGGGUCAGUAUCCACGCGAUACAAAGCGCUCGAGGGUCGCAGUGAAGAGGCUCAAGCAACUGUUUAACAAAAACACAGGUCUAUGCUAAGCUGGAAGGCGAUGUAUAUGGGCUGACACCUGCCCAGUGCUGGAAGGUUAAGAGGAGGAGUGAGAGCUCCGAAUUGAAGCCCCAGUGAACGGCGGCCGUAACUAUAACGGUCCUAAGGUAGCGAAAUUCCUUGUCGGGUAA
rnacentral:rRNA from 1 species